rnacentral:misc_RNA from 1 species
UAAGAGCGUGCAUUCUAGUUAGGCGUCCACACUUAUCGGUUUGUUUGAUGUUACAGCCAAGGGUCUGUAGCUCAGGUGGUUAGAGCACCGUCUUGAUAAGGCGGGGGUCGUAGGUUCAAGUCCUACCAGACCCACCAAGUUAUGGACGGUGGAAGUCUCUGCCGUGACUGGGGGAUUAGCUCAGCUGGGAGAGCACCUGCUUUGCAAGCAGGGGGUCGUCGGUUCGAUCCCGUCAUCCUCCACCAAUACCUUGUGGUUGCCAAACGCAAGCAUCGAGUUUUCGGUGUUUGCGUUUGGCAUUGCCAAGACGAGUCAUAACUCGGCUGUUCUUUAACAAUAUGGAAUGUAGUAAAGGUGUCGCGGAGCAUUGAUGAGAUGCUCGCAAAAACGCGACAUUGGGUUGUGAUUGUAUCAACCAGUAUUACGAGUGAUCGAAAGACCGCUUGGAAUACGGCACAACGCGAGAACUCAGCCUAUAUCGAGACAUACUCGUUAUAG